UCCUGGUUAACCCAGGCAGUCUCAUUAGAGUUCCCACCUUAAAUGUUGGCAACUAAUGAUAAGGGUUGCGCUCGUUGCGGGACUUAACCCAACACCUCACGGCACGAGCUGACGACAGCCAUGCAGCACCUGUGCAGAUGUCCCGAAGGAAAGCCCUAUUUCUAGAGCGGUCAUCUGCAUGUCAAGUCUGGGUAAGGUUUUUCGCGUUGCAUCGAAUUAAACCACAUGCUCCACUGCUUGUGCGGGUCCCCGUCAAUUCUUUUGAGUUUCACCCUUGCGAGUGUACUCCCCAGGCGGUAUACUUAACGCGUUAGCUACGGCACAGCCGGGGUUGAGUCCAGCUACACCAAGUAUACAUAGUUUACGGCAAGGACUAC
rnacentral:misc_RNA from 1 species